rnacentral:rRNA from 1 species
GAUGAACGCUGGCGGCGUGCCUAAUACAUGCAAGUCGAGCGAAAGUACGUUAACCCCGCGUCCUUGCAGUCACCGGUAGAGGGUUGAGUAACAAGUGGAUAACCAACCUAUAAGACAGGGACAACAACGGGGGGGCGGAGACAAUACCGCAUAAUCUAAUGACCCAUAUGGAUCAUUACUGCAUGAUGACUUUGUUAACACUUAUAAUAGUAUCCGCGUUGCAUUAGCUAGUUGGUAAGGUAAAGGCUUACCAAGGCAACGAUGCAUAGCCGAACUGAGAGGGUGAUCGGCCACAUUGGAACUGAGACACGGUCCAGACUCCUACGGGAGGCAGCAGUAGGGAAUCUUCCACAAUGGGCGAAAGCCUGACGGAGCAACGCCGCGUGAGUGAAGAAGGUCUUCGGAUCGUAAAACCCUGUUGUUAGAGAAGAAAGUGUGUGUGAGUAACUGUGCACGUCUCGACGGUACCUAAUCAGAAAGCCACGGCUAACUACGUG